UUAAAAAGCUCGUAGUUGGAUUUCUGUGCGGAGGUUCUUGGUCCGCUUCUAUGAGGUGGUUCCUUGACCGUCGUACAUCCUGUUGGCAGACACGUACUGGUAUUCAUUUAUCGGUGCGGGGAGACCACUCGUUUACUUUGAGAAAAUUAAAGUGUUCAAAGCAGGCAAUCGCUUGAAUACAUUAGCAUGGAAUAAUAGUAUAGGACUUUGAUCUUAUUUGUUGGUUUUAAAGAUCAAAGUAAUGAUUGAUAGGGACAGUUGGGGGCAUCAGUAUUCUGAAGCGAGAGGUGAAAUUCUUGGACCUUCGGAAGACUAACAACUGCGAAAGCAUUUGCCAAGGAUGUUCUCUUUAAUCAAGAA
rnacentral:rRNA from 1 species